AUUAAACGCUGGCGGCAUGCCUUACACAUGCAAGUCGAACGGCAGCACGGGAGCUUGCUCCUGGUGGCGAGUGGCGGACGGGUGAGUAAUACAUCGGAACGUGCCCUGGAGUGGGGGAUAACGCAGCGAAAGCUACGCUAAUACCGCAUAUUCUGUGAGCAGGAAAGCAGGGGAUCGCAAGACCUUGCGCUCUAGGAGCGGCCGAUGUCGGAUUAGCUAGUUGGUGGGGUAAAGGCUCACCAAGGCGACGAUCCGUAGCGGGUCUGAGAGGAUGAUCCGCCACACUGGGACUGAGACACGGCCCAGACUCCUACGGGAGGCAGCAGUGGGGAAUUUUGGACAAUGGGCGGAAGCCUGAUCCAGCAAUGCCGCGUGUGUGAAGAAGGCCUGAGGGUUGUAAAGCACUUUCAAUCGUGAAGAAAGUUGCAGGCUAACUCCGUG
rnacentral:rRNA from 1 species